rnacentral:rRNA from 1 species
CCUACGGGUGGCAGCAGUGGGGAAUAUUGGGCAAUGGGCGAAAGCCUGACCCAGCCACGCCGCGUGAAGGAAGAAGGCUCUCGGGUUGUAAACUUCUUUUGACAAGGAAGCGCAGAAGACGGUACCUGUCGAAUCAGCCACGGCUAACUACGUGCCAGUAGCCGGCGUAAUAGGUAGGUGGCAAGCGUUGUCCGGAUUUACUGGGGUUAAAGGGCGUGUAGCCGGGCAGACAAGUCAGAUGUGAAAUCCGGGGGCCCAACCCUCGAACUGCAGUUGAAACUGUUGGUCUUGAGUAUAGGAGAGGCAUGCGGAAUUCCUGGUGUAGCGGUGAAAUGCGUAGAUAUUAGGAGGAACACCAGUGGCGAAGGCGGCCUGCUGGACGACAACUGACGGUGAGGCGCGAAAGCGUGGGGAGCAAACAGGAUUAGAUACCCCUGUAGUC